rnacentral:rRNA from 1 species
CCUACGGGGGGCUGCAGUGGGGAAUCUUCCGCAAUGGACGAAAGUCUGACGGAGCAACGCCGCGUGAGCGAAGAAGGUCUUCGGAUCGUAAAGCUCUGUUGUUGGGGAAGAACAAGUACGGUAGGAAAUGGCCGUACCUUGACGGUACCCGACGAGAAAGCCACGGCUAACUACGUGCCAGCAGCCGCGGUAAUACGUAGGUGGCAAGCGUUGUCCGGAAUUAUUGGGCGUAAAGCGCGCGCAGGCGGUCCUUUAAGUCUGAUGUGAAAUCUUGCGGCGCAACCGCAAGCGGUCAUUGGAAACUGGGGGGGUCGUGUGCGGAGGAGGGGAGAGGGGUUUCCCGCGUGGAGGUGUAAUGCGCGGAGAUGUGGGGGAGAACACCUGGGGAGGGGGGCUUUUUGGGGUGUGAAUGUGGCUGUGGGGCGAAAGCGUGGGGAGCAAACAGGAUUAGAUACCCUAGUAGUC